rnacentral:lncRNA from 1 species
GCACUGGAUGCUUCGGCCAACGCAGCCCCACAUAAAUCUCGAAGGCCGACACCCAGUGGCGUUUUUAUUGAACCGGUUACUUGUGAUAAGUGUAAGGGCUGUUCGACAUCUUUUUUAAGAUUUGUUGAAAUCGUGAAACGCAGCAACUCAUGUAUUUUUUCGUCUGCUACGAGUGACUUGUGUAGUUCUGCGAAAUAUUAAUUUAAAAAAAAAACAGUGAUAGAAAAGGGGGUUAAGACCUCUUAUGAACUCAGAUACUUCAAUAUCAACAAUGAGGAAGAGGAUGAUGAUGAUGACAAGGAAUAAGUUCGUCUCCCCGUUGUUUCGUUUUUUCUGUAAAGUAAUUAACGAUGACCAUUAUAUUUGUACAAUUGUUACUGCAUUAAACUUGACACCAUUCCUUGACGCAUACUUUCAGGGUUAUUUUUACAUAAAAAAAUUGUCAGUAUUAAGAUUAUUCGUAUGGAACUUUAGUAGGCUGUGUACGAAGGGAAUUAUAAUUUUGCAUUAAGAAGAUUCCAGGUUAUGAAGGAACUUGGUCUAAACAUUUGCUAGUAAGAUGUCGGAUCCAUUCAUGUGGUUGCAUGUUUCGAUUUGACCAAUAACUCGUAUCAGACAUGAAGGCUGGGAAGACAGUGAAAGUGAAGUAAAUGCAUUCUGCGUAAAGCAAUCGACCUUCAAUACAACUGUUAUCAAAUUGAGGCAAGUAAAAUAUAAUUAAGUGAAACUAAGCUAAUUUUCUAGAUCUCGAGUAAUAUUUUGUAAAUAUUUAUCUAAACUCAAAAUUGAAAGCCAGACAACAAGUAAUGGAAUGUCAUGUAUAUUUCUCAAUUUACAAAAAUUUCAUCACUUGAAUCAUAACAAAGAGCUUUAUCGACGAUUCAAAUCUAAAUCUUCCAUGAAGGAAGUUAAGUUCAGCCGAAUCUUUUUACUGCCUUGACUUACGCAUUGAAGAAGAUUCAUCAUCUGCCUAGUGAGUAUAUUCCUUCAACAAAGGCAUAAACAAAAUUAUUAGCUGCUGACGACGCGAAUUUCUUAAAUUAAAGACAACGGUAUUAAUGCUAAAUUUGAUUGAGUUACCGUUUGUUCUUGAAUCCAUUUUUCCAAAGAAUUUUCAGGUAAAUAAUAUGCCUUUAUGUAUGUUUCGACAAUAUGUGGGUCAGGAAGAGGUCUUAGACGUGUCAAGCUUUCCACUUUGACUUGAAAAUGCCUGAAGUCUAACUGCAUUAGUGCACGACCUUCGUUCGUGCAUUUCCUUACAGCGGAAAAUCUAAAGAAUUUCAAAUCGGAUACGGUCUUACAUAAAGGAGGCAGAAUCUGAGGGUAACAGACACGAAGGACACUCAAGUCGUAGUCACUGAGAACCUGCGAAAGAAAUAAGAAUUACAUCAUAGAUGGAAUAUGAUUUUUAUAGCUUUUUGUUUCAACAAGAUAUAUGAAGAUAUCUGAGGGAGCAAUUUUUGGAACAAUUGGACAACAGUCUAAACCGUGUUUCCACAGAGAAUUAGGAAUACUAUAUGGACAAUCACUGUUAAACAUUUGUAACUUUUCCAAAUAACGUGUUUUGGCCUCAAUACUAAGUCCACUGGCAUAAUUAGACAGUGACAUAGUUAAACACUAA